AAAUAAAGUUUGAGUUAAUGUGA
rnacentral:piRNA from 1 species